rnacentral:rRNA from 1 species
GCCGUUCGCGGCUGGACUAUUUAUUACCCUUGUCUUUUGCGCACUUGUUGUUUCCUGGGCGGGUUCGCUCGCCACCAGGACCACAAUAUAAACCUUUUUUAUGCAGUUGCAAUCAGCGUCAGUAUAACAAAUGUAAAUCAUUUACAACUUUCAACAACGGAUCUCUUGGUUCUGGCAUCGAUGAAGAACGCAGCGAAAUGCGAUACGUAGUGUGAAUUGCAGAAUUCAGUGAAUCAUCGAAUCUUUGAACGCACAUUGCGCCCUUUGGUAUUCCAAAGGGCAUGCCUGUUCGAGCGUCAUUUGUACCCUCAAGCUUUGCUUGGUGUUGGGCGUUUUUGUCUUUGGCCCGCCAAAGACUCGCCUUAAAAUGAUUGGCAGCCGGCCUACUGGUUUCGCAGCGCAGCACAUUUUUGCGCUUGCAAUCAGCAAAAGAGGACGGCAAUCCAUCAAGACUCCUUCUCACGUUUGACCUCGGAUCAGGUAGGGAUACCCGCUGAACUUAAGCAUAUCAAUAAGCGGAGGAA